CGCCAGCGGGAAAAGUUCGCGACCCUGUCUCCGUCCUCUUCGUUAGCGAUAUAAUAGUACAUCGGAAGCCGUACAUGAUGUUGUAUGUGUACAUACAUGUUGCAUAACAGCCGAUGCACUCGCGAACAGCUGCUCGCGUGCGAAUGUACCGGCGAGGCCGCAUUAAUCAUCUGUGAUACUCCCGCACACCAAGAUUUCCUUCGUGAAGGAUGGAAACAUACCUCUCUUCCUCUCACGCUUUCUUUUUCCGUAGACGGAUUUACGAGAUGGGAGAAUUUGAUCCUAAUUCAGAACCUAGAAUUUAAUCAUUUAAAUUUGUUACUUCUCAGUCUAAAUUUAUAAAUAUUUAUUCGCCGUCGUAUAGUUUAAUUAUAAUAAGAUUCAAUUUAACGAUGAAUAGUGUGUAAUUAGGAUUAAUUGUACUUAAUGAUAUGAUUAUAAAUAAACGGCAGAAAAUGUAUGAAGUAACACACA